AACGCGAAGAACCUUACCCAGGCUCGAAAUACAGAUGGCGAUACCAGAAAUGGUAUUUUCCGUAAGGACGUUUGUAUAGGUGCUGCAUGGCUGUCGUCAGCUCGUGCCGUGAGGUGUUGGGUUAAGUCCCGCAACGAGCGCAACCCUUAUCAUUAGUUGCCAACACUCUGGUGGGGACUCUAAUGAGACUGCCUAGGUUAACUAGGAGGAAGGUGAGGAUGACGUCAAGUCCGCAUGGCCUUUAUGUCUGGGGCUACACACGUGCUACAAUGGUCGGUACAGAAGGCAGCAAGACCGCAAGGUGGAGCAAAUCCGAAAAACCGAUCUCAGUUCAGAUUGUAGUCUGCAACUCGACUACAUGAAGCCGGAAUUGCUAGUAAUGACGUGUCAGCAACAGCGUCGUGAAUACGUUCCCGGGCCUUGUA
rnacentral:rRNA from 1 species